UACGAGGGGGGCAAGCGUUGUUCGGAAUUAUUGGGCGUAAAGGGCGCGUAGGCGGUGCGGUAAGUCCGCUGUGAAAGUCGAGGGCUCAACCCUCGAAUGCCGGUGGAUACUGUCGGGCUUGAGUACGGGAGAGGCGAGUGGAAUUCCUGGUGUAGCGGUGAAAUGCGUAGAUAUCUGGAGGAACACCGGUGGCGAAGGCGGCAUCCUGGACCGGUAUUGACGCUGAGGCGCGAAAGCCAGGGGAGCAAACGGG
rnacentral:rRNA from 1 species